UACGUAGGGGGCAAGCGUUGUCCGGAAUCAUUGGGCGUAAAGAGCGUGUAGGCGGCCCGGUAAGUCCGCCGUGAAAGUCCAGGGCUCAACCCUGGAAUGCCGGUGGAAACUGUCGGGCUGGAGUCAGGAAGAGGCGAGUGGAAUCCCUGGUGUAGCGGUGAAAUGCGCAGAUAUCAGGAGGAACACCAAUGGCGAAGGCAGCUCGCUGGGACGGUACUGACGCUGAGACGCGAAAGCGUGGGGAGCAAACAGG
rnacentral:rRNA from 1 species